CCAACAGGGAUUCCCCUAGUAACGGCGAGUGAAGCGGGAACAGCUCAAAUUUGAAAUCUGGCCCUCGGGUCCGAGUUGUAAUUUGCAGAGGAUGCUUUUGGUGCGGUGCCUUCCGAGUUCCCUGGAACGGGACGCCUUAGAGGGUGAGAGCCCCGUACGGUUGGCCACCAAGCCUGUGUAAAGCUCCUUCGACGAGUCGAGUAGUUUGGGAAUGCUGCUCAAAAUGGGAGGUAUAUUUCUUCUAAAGCUAAAUACUGGCCAGAGACCGAUAGCGCACAAGUAGAGUGAUCGAAAGAUGAAAAGCACUUUGAAAAGAGGGUUAAAUAGCACGUGAAAUUGUUGAAAGGGAAGGAUUUAUGACCAGACUUUUUCUGGGGGGAUCAUCCGGUGUUCUCACCGGUGCACUUCCCCCAGUGGAGGCCAGCAUCGGUUCCUGUCGGGGGACAAAAGCUUCGGGAAUGUGGCUCCUCCGGGAGUGUUAUAGCCCGUUGCAUAAUACCCUGACGGGGACCGAGGUUCGCGCAUCUGCAAGGAUGCUGGCGUAAUGGUCAUCAAUCACCCGUCUUGAAACACGGACCAAGGAGUCGAACAUUUGUGCGAGUGUUUGGGUGUUAAACCCUCACGCGUAAUGAAAGUGAACGGAGGUGAGAGCCCCUCGGGGUGCAUCAUCGACCGAUCCUGAUGUCUUCGGAUGGAUUUGAGUAAGAGCAUAACUGUUCGGACCCGAAAGAUGGUGAACUAUGCGUGGAUAGGGUGAAGCCAGAGGAAACUCUGGUGGAGGCUCGCAGCGGUUCUGACGUGCAAAUCGAUCGUCAAAUCUGCGCAUGGGGGCGAAAGACU
rnacentral:rRNA from 2 species